GUAGGUGGCAAGCGUUGUCCGGAAUUAUUGGGCGUAAAGCGCGCGCAGGGCGGUCCUUUAAGUCUGAUGUGAAAGCCCACGGCUCAACCGUGGAGGGUCAUUGGAAACUGGGGGACUUGAGUACAGAAGAGGAAAGCGGAAUUCCAAGUGUAGCGGUGAAAUGCGUAGAGAUUUGGAGGAACACCAGUGGCGAAGGCGGCCUUCUGGUCUGUAACUGACGCUGAGGCGCGAAAGCGUGGGGAGCAAACAGGAUUAGAUACCCUGGUAGUCCACGCCGUAAACGAUGAGUGCUAAGUGUUAGGGGGUUUCCGCCCCUUAGUGCUGCAGCUAACGCAUUAAGCACUCCGCCUGGGGAGUACGGCCGCAAGGCUG
rnacentral:rRNA from 1 species